rnacentral:rRNA from 1 species
UGGGCGUAAAGGGUGUGUAGGUGGCUAUGUAAGUCAGGUGUGAAAGCCCCGGGCUCAACCCGGGAAGUGCAUCUGAUACUGCGUAGCUUGAGUACCGAAGAGGAUAGUGGAAUUCCAGGUGUAGUGGUGAAAUACGUAGAUAUCUGGAGGAACACCGGUGGCGAAGGCGGCUAUCUGGUCGAGUACUGACACUGAGACACGAAAGCAUGGGGAUCAAACAGGAUUAGAUACCCUGGUAGUCCAUGCCGUAAACGAUGGGUACUUGGUGUUGGAGGUAUUGACCCCUUCAGUGCCGAAGCUAACGCGUUAAGUACCCCGCCUGGGGAGUACGGUCGCAAGAUUAAAACUCAAAGAAAUUGUCGGGGGCCCGCACAAGCGGUGGAGCAUGUGGUUUAAUUCGAUGCAACGCGAAAAACCUUACCUAGGCUCGAAAUGCAGUGGAAGACAGCAGAAACGUUGUCGUCUUCGGACCGCUGUAUAGGUGCUGCAUGGCUGUCGUCAGCUCGUGUCGUGAGAUGUUGGGUUAAGUCCCGCAACG